AACAUUUUCCUCUCCAGUUUCCCCUCAUUUUCUUCUUCUUUUUCGGUGAAAACCCUACCAGAGUUAUGGAGUUUGAUGGAUGGGUGAAGUAAAUUCGGUGAUGAAGUAGAUGUGUUGCUGCAGUUUUUCUAUUUCAACACCAACAUUCUAUACUUGGCUUUUGUAGGAUUCAAUUUGAUUUUUAACUUAGUUCUAUGGGAAUCGAUGAGACUAACGAAGUUUAAUUCAAAGGAGCACCCUGCAUUAAGCAAGAGCGAAAGAUCAAAUAUUUAUUUGAGGGCUGAUGAACUGCGAAAAGCUCUAUGUCGCUGUCAUGCAAAAAGUCCAAAUCAUCCGAGAACAAUACAGAUAUCCAAUUUGAUUCAUAUGACCAUCUGCAUAAACUAAUUUAUACGACUAUAAAUCAUCGUACCCAAUUUAUUUUAUACUACCGUGCUAGUAUGAUACCCAAUUUGUUUUAUAUGAUCAUUGUCAGUAGGAUACCCAAUUUAUUUUGUAUGAUCAUCUGAAACAUGUUUUCUAUUUAUUUUAUGGUGUCAUUUGUUGUUUGGACAGUAGUUAUAGUUUCAGCUUGGUUGGAUUGGAUUCUACUAAGAACCCAUCUCCAGUCUUCGACUAUACAUUUGGAGGCCAUGAACAUUACAAUUGCUAAUGAUGCAAAACUUCCGAGUUUUUAUUUAUAGAUAGGGAUGAUACUCAACUUUGGAUUUUUCAUUUAUAGAUGGGAUAGGUAUGCUGCUCUGCUGGGUAGAGUAGAGAAGCUUAUGUUAGAGACUGAUUGAGGCAUAAUGAAAUAGUGCCAUCAAAUUCAGAACAUACUGAGUUUGAGUUGACAUCCUUGAAAAGUUCAUCCUGAAGAUAUGCACCCAGUGUGCUUUCCUCCAACCGAAGUACAAGAAUAUGUAUCAUGAGGAACUCACUAGUCGUCUUUCUCAGAACUCAGUGGCAACAUUAAGCAGUACAAAUUGCAACAAUAUUAAUUAUCAAGGCCUGAACUGGGUAUAUUAUUGGUCUCCAAGAUGCAACUGAAGUGAUAUGUUCUCGCACACCAAGCCAGCUUCAAACGAUAUUUGGUGGUCAUACUGAGUGGGACAUUGAAAUGCAAACAACCGGGGAUCAUCAAAAGAAUUUGGACAUUAUCAAUAUCUUUCCCCGUCGGAUGCAACCCAACGCCAACAAUAGGUAUUGUAUGAGAAGUCUGUAGGAUCUCAUCAUUCAUGACAAUCACCAGAACAAUAUAAUCAUGUGGACCGACAGUGAAGAACGGGUCUUGUUUGAGAAAUGGUUCAUGAAGGUUUCUACGGGUCUUGUUUGAGAAAUGGUUCAUGAAGGUUUCUAUGAUAAAAAGUUUACACUACUGUAGAGUUUUAAAAUGCUACCAACCGAAGCUGCCAAUAGACUGAUAGGCUAAUUAAGAAAACUCAUCUAUUAGCAAGCAUUUACCACCGAGAUGUUUACUUUUAUAUUAUAUACUAAAGCCAUUGUUUUUUUUGGAGCAUCAAUGUGAUUGUUUGCUAUAA